GAGUUAAAAACUCAGCCUGAGAGCAAAAGCAAUUCAAGAUGGCGCUUCCAGGUGUGGACUGCAAAAGGCUGCCCUCCUUAAGCCACUCUUUAUAUUCAAGGUCUGCCUGGUGCCACCUUAGAAGCUGGCCUUAUUCUGCAGAGGACAUUGAAUGAUAACACCGUGCGCGUCAGCUGACUGCUGUGUCAUAGCUGCUGCUUUCUGCAUUAUCCCAACUGCCUGAAUUCUGGCUCCUGCAGUUUUUCUGGUCGUACUGCGGCAAAGCAGAGGCGCACGACUAGGCACGAAGCGACAGAGUUUUAGAGUUUUAUUUUCCUGCUACUACUUACAUUGCUUACGUGAGGAGUAUUCACGUUUGUUUAGCCGGGAGCAGAGAUGCAGUCUGAACGUACAUGGUGGCUUCUAACUUGGCAGCGUGAAUUUUCAGCCGAGCAGUUACUGCUCGGAGCCUUGUAACCAAACAGCCUCUGAAGGAGAACAUCUGGCUUCCCACCACGUGUAUGAAUAGUCCGGAGGCUUCUUGAGCCACGCUGCUCUACCUGCAGGAAUAAAGUCUAGCACAAAGGAGAGGAUGCUUGUCAUCAUUUGCCUGGCUGGGGCCUGGGCAGGCAACUUCACCUCACUGAAGCUGUGACUCUCCCCCAGCUCAUGUUAAAGCUGGUCACAGGCGCUGGCGCAGAUCCCCACUCCUGAGUUAGGACAAGGUUUAAAGGAGAAACCAGACUCACUGACCUAAAUCAAUCCCAGUCCCCCCCUGGAUGCGGGGCAGCUGUCGACUAGCGGCCACACACCAGCCACCAAGUGGAGAAUCGCUGGGAUUGCAGUCUGUGCCAGACCGAAUUUAAACAACCUACCUAAGGUUAUGCAGCUGGUGAGCAAGCAGAUCAGAGACUCAUGAUCUUCCUACUGAGGACCCAGGAUUCUUUCCUUGCCUCUCUGAGGAUACUGCUACCUGGACUCCUCUAACUCCCAAUCUAAGUCUUGAAUACGGAUGUGAUGCCUCAAGCUACAGCAGCCAAUUUGGAACCACGAAGGAAAGGCCCUAUGUUUCUGAGCCAUUAAACCAAUACCAGCAACCGCCAACCUCCAAACAUCUAAUAAGAAAAAUCUACCCUUAUUCCUUUAAGCUGAUAUCACUGGGUUUCUAUUAUUUGCAGUUGAUAGCAAUCCUAUCUGAAACGCAUCAUCUAUGUGAUUUCAUGUGGCCGAAGAGACAUAAACCCAUUCAGCUUCUCAAGUCAGGCUCUGUCGUACUUCUAUAACCUCCUCCAUUCCCAAUCAAACCAGGCUCAUGAAGACAUUUACUUCUUUGCUGCUUUUCUCUAUGUAUACCAGAGUAUACUUCCCUCUCUGCAACAGAUCCCUAAAUUCACUCCAUCCUUAAAGGUACACACUUGUCUGUAGCCUUUCCUAAAGAAUGUGCCCUAUCCCAUAAAUCUCCAGUAAGAAGCUCCUGUGUGGUCACUGCGUUGCCUAGACUUUCCUGCACAGUCCCAAUUUUAAUUACUUUGUGUGACUGACUCUAUAAGUGCAUCUGCACUUCUCAGAAUGCAUGCCCUUAUUUUUGUUCGUGUUUUGGUGUGGAGACUCAAUAAAAUUAAUUCAGUUUUUCUUAUUCAAUAUCAAUUUGAAAAUAAGGUCAUUGCUCAUUCCUGUAUUAGCUUCUUCCCAAAACCAAUUAUAAAGAUACAAUUUGGUUCUUCUGCUUCCCAGAGUAUACUGCAAAUGCAAAUGAGAGACAGGACAAAUACACAGAACGUGAUGAAGAAACUACAUUAGUAAUCAUUGGCUACUUAGCAAAUGCCAUGCAGCAUUAGUUCUUCCAUCAUUCCAGGUAACCACAGACCUUCUAGAGUUUCUGGAAAGCAGUGGUUCUGAUUCCAGAAGCUUUGCUCGGAAGCCAAAUGAGUUACUUUAUAGUCACACCUCCAUUAAUGCAACUUUUUAAAAUAAAAAUAAAAUUCAAUUUCUCAUGAGUCAGAGUAAUAAGAACUAUUCCUAGAAAUAAAAGUUAUUAAUAAAAAUAAGAUAGUGGGAUUAGAUUAUCCUUAAGUUUCCUUCUAACUCCAAAUUUGUGAUUGUAAUUAGCUUUUCAGACUUUUACUUGGUAAAAUUACAUCUCUCCAAAUCACUGAGUGAUAUCUUAGGGAACUAAAUGAAGUUCCUCUCCUUCUCUUCCUAAGCAAUUCAAUCCCAAGGCCAUUAGACGAGGCAGAGGAAAGUAGAGGUCCACAGUGGAGGAAGAGGGGAGCAGAGGGUGACACAAAUGCCCA